CCGAUUUGGUUGACCCUCCCGAGAAAAAAAACUCUUCCGAUCGACAGAAUCAGAGAAAGGAGAGGACGAAUCGAUCCACCCUGACGCGCGCCAUGUGUGCGACCUAGGGAUUGAUCGGUCAAGUACAGGCGGGCGAUGUAUCUUCAAGGGAAUCCGGUCUAGCGGGGAUGCAUACCGACGCCUCGAUCUGUCUUCAAGGGCAUCCAACAGAUCUGGGGAUGUAUAUCGACGCCUCGUCGUAAUGGAGUUCAUCCGCCGUCAUUCAAGCGGGAGUAAUGAAACCCUAUUGUACAGGCUAUUAUCUCGCCGGCGGCUAAUGGUGCAGGACAUAGAUGCCCUCCUUCUGCACCUCCAGCGCCGGGGCGAAAUUGAUGCAAAAACAAGUGAGGAAGGUAUCCCUCCAAUUCAGAGAGGCAGCAACGAGCAGUCUUGUGCAUGCGGCGUGGGCAAAUGGAGCAGCUGCAAGGCAACCCAGUUGUUCCCAUAGCAAUACCAGACGAAUUAUUGCAUAUAUGCAACAAUGAACACACAGGCAAGAAAAAAGAGAGGUCCACUUCUAACUGCUGGGCGAGCAUUUUUGUGCAGAUUCGUGAGUCUCCUACUGUGGAAAAAUAAAGUAAAGAAGAUCAGAGAAUAAUUACAUUGUCAUCUGACCAGGCUAAUCUGCAGAAAGCGUGCAUGGACAGGGAUCGUCCCAGUAACCUCUGCGAAGAGAGGGUGCAUUUAAGGAGAUAUCUUCCUAUAUUUAUCUGCAGCAUCGAUGAUAUCAUGGGCAGUUUUUCUUCUUGUCUAACUAGAUCUAUAUCGUCAUCUAUGUUAGAAUAAUCUCUUCGGUUGACUCAUCCACGCUUGAUAUUAUUUAUGGAAUAGGAAAAUUUUAUUCAACCAGAACUAUUUAGAUCAUCCAUAUGAACAUUUAUCGAUUCUCUGUCAUUUUCAUUCAAGCGUAUGCAUAUUUUUGUGUUGAAUAACAUGUUUGCUGAUGUAAUGCAAGCCAAUAAUUUUCAUGGUCGUGC
rnacentral:rRNA from 1 species